CCCUUAGAUGUUCUGGGCAGCACGCGCGCUACAAUGGUCUUCGCAAACGGAUGCAUUCUCGAAGGAGAAUGCCAAUCUUGGAAUCUAUGCCUUGGUCGGGACAGUUGCUUGCAAUUUUUCGACUCGAACCAGGAAUUCCUUGUAAUCGUGAUUCAUCACAUCACGAUGAAUUCGUCCCUGCCCUUUGUACACACCGCCCGUCGCUCCUACCGAUCGAAGAGUUAGGUGAAUUGUUUUGAUCGAUAAGAUUUGACUAUGGUCAACUCUCGUUGUGAAAUUCUGUGAAUCUGACUGUUUAGAGGAAGGAAAAGUCGUAACA
rnacentral:rRNA from 1 species